GUGCUCUUCCUCCUUCAUGGAGUCCGCACGAGCCUUCGUGUACUUCCUUAAUGACAUUGUCAGUGUCGGGUUUGGCCAAAAAACGCAACAACGGGCUGUCGAAGGACUUUUUAUAAAGUGCCCCUCCGACUUCGCAGAACUUGGCUGCUUUGUGUUGUAACUUUUUGGCCUCACUCCGAUUGUCCGGAAGUACACCGUUUUGAAUGAAUGCCAGUAUUGGUUGCCUCCAAUCCUC
rnacentral:lncRNA from 1 species